UAACUCCUUUAUCUCUACUGAAGUCUGGCAGCACUAUCAUCAUUCAUUUGUACUGGUGUGGUGAUCCAGAAGACACCUUGUCAACCUCAAUGAUGCUGUUGGGGCAGCAUAAACAAGGCACUCCUGUUUCUGAAACAGUCCCCUGUCACAUGCAGAGCAGCUGAUGGAACAGAGAACCACCUUUGUACACGCUCAGUGCCACCCAUGGAUACACACUGCUGCUGGAGCCUGGUGCUGCUGGAGAGGUUACAUGGGACUGGAUGAGCUUUGCAACUUGGCUGAGAUACUGUGGCUUUAUGACUGCAUAAAGGAAGUCCAGGAGCUUGUCUCUCACCAUCAAGUCAAGUCUCAUGUUCCACUCCAGAAGGAAUUUCUUCUGUUGGAAUGGCCCAAAUCAGGGUUUGGAGGUGAUUUAAA